GGCCUGUGUUUUCUUUGGCAAGAAGACAGUCUUCCACCCUAGAGGCAGACCAAAUGCAAGAGGACACUCCUGAACGCAAAGCAGCUGGCUUUCCUCCCAUGGCAGGUGAAUCUUCUCUGUGCCAGGAAGUGGGGAGCCUAAGUCAAGUCUAACCCAGGACUGAUCUAGAACGGCCACAGUGGGUACAGCAGGGCCUGUAAAUCCUGUGGCCUGGGGUAUCCCCACUCUUCUGGUAGGAACUCCUGCUGCCCCGACAGGCCCGACAGCCAACAAGCCUUCCUCAAUGCCACUGGAGGAAUGGGAACUGCAGACCCCUUUCUGCAGCCUGCUCUCUACAUCCUGACUUCCAGAUUCAGGGGACAUGUCCCCACACUGAGGAGGCCUUCCUUGGUAGCUGGACCAGCUGCUUCAGGUUAGCCGAAGGCAAAGGAACCUGGACGCGGACACAGGGAACCGCCCCCAACACGUACCUUCACUCGUCAUUGGCUACUGUGCUCAGCCUCUCCAGGCCAACAAGCAGCCUGAGCCGUCAAUCUUCUCCUCUGCCAAUCAGCGCGCCAGCCAGUUCAGGCCCUCUAGUCACGGCUCUGUACUGAAGGAUGAUGAAGGUGCUUGGACACUGGCUAAGGGGACACUCCUGAUCCACCGAGGCCGGGCCUGUGGGCAGGCAAGAGGGGUUCUCCAGCCUGAUGAGGGCGGAUCCUUCCACACGCUACUCCAAGACAAGGGCCAGCUAGCCCCAGCCUGCCAGGUAAGGAUGUCAGGCUGGCCUCAAGCCGCAAAUGGUCCAGUGGGAGAACAUGUCACCAGGGUCCCAGGUGCCUGUUGGUUGAGGUGAGGGGGUCAGGAGCGAGUCCGGCAGGAAGGAGGCUUGAUCUCAGGCUCAGCCUCUUGGUUUAUUUGCUUUCAGAGAGGCGGUCUUCCCAGCUUUGCUU
ensembl:lncRNA